rnacentral:rRNA from 1 species
GUUUGAUCCUGGCUCAGGAUGAACGCUAGCGGCAGGCUUAACACAUGCAAGUCGAGGGGUAUAUGUCUUCGGAUAUAGAGACCGGCGCACGGGUGCGUAACGCGUAUGCAAUCUACCUUUUACAGGGGAAUAGCCCAGAGAAAUUUGGAUUAAUGCCCCAUAGUAUAAUUGAAUGGCAUCAUUUAAUUAUUAAAGUCACAACGGUAAAAGAUGAGCAUGCGUCCCAUUAGUUAGUUGGUAAGGUAACGGCUUACCAAGACGAUGAUGGGUAGGGGUCCUGAGAGGGAGAUCCCCCACACUGGUACUGAGACACGGACCAGACUCCUACGGGAGGCAGCAGUGAGGAAUAUUGGACAAUGGGCGCAAGCCUGAUCCAGCCAUGCCGCGUGCAGGAAGACGGUCCUAUGGAUUGUAAACUGCUUUUAUACAGGAAGAAACACUCCGACGUGUCGGAGCUUGACGGUACUGUAGGAAUAAGGAUCGGCUAACUCCGUGCCAGCAGCCGCGGUAAUACGGAGGAUCCAAGCGUUAUCCGGAAUCAUUGGGUUUAAAGGGUCCGUAGGCGGUUUAAUAAGUCAGUGGUGAAAUCUGGUCGCUCAACGAUCAAACGGCCAUUGAUACUGUUAGACUUGAAUUAUAAGGAAGUAACUAGAAUAUGUAGUGUAGCGGUGAAAUGCUUAGAUAUUACAUGGAAUACCAAUUGCGAAGGCAGGUUACUACUUAUGGAUUGACGCUGAUGGACGAAAGCGUGGGGAGCGAACAGGAUUAGAUACCCUGGUAGUCCACGCCGUAAACGAUGGAUACUAGCUGUUGGGAGUAAUCUCAGUGGCUAAGCGAAAGUGAUAAGUAUCCCACCUGGGGAGUACGUUCGCAAGAAUGAAACUCAAAGGAAUUGACG